GACGAACGCUGGCGGCGUGCUUAACACAUGCAAGUCGAGCGGUAAGGCCCUUUCGGGGGUACACGAGCGGCGAACGGGUGAGUAACACGUGGGUGACCUGCCCUCAGCUCUGGGAUAAGCCUGGGAAACCGGGUCUAAUACUGGAUAUGACUCCAUGACGCAUGUUGGUGGGGUGGAAAGCCUUGUGCGGCUGAGGAUGGGCCCGCGGCCUAUCAGCUUGUUGGUGGGGUGAGGCCUACCAAGGCGACGACGGGUAGCCGGCCUGAGAGGGCGACCGGCCACACUGGGACUGAGACACGGCCCAGACUCCUACGGGAGGCAGCAGUGGGGAAUCUUGCGCAAUGGGCGAAAGCCUGACGCAGCGACGCCGCGUGAGGGAUGACGGCC
rnacentral:rRNA from 1 species